UACAGAGGUCUCAAGCGUUGUUCGGAUUCAUUGGGCGUAAAGGGUGCGUAGGCGGCGGGGCAAGUCGGAUGUGAAAUCUCAGGGCUCAACCCUGAAACUGCAUUCGAUACUGCCUUGCUCGAGGACUGGAGAGGAGAUUGGAAUUCACGGUGUAGCAGUGAAAUGCGUAGAUAUCGAGAGGAACACCAGUGGCGAAGGCGAGUCCCUGGACAACACCUGACACUGAGGCACGAAAGCUAGGGGAGCAAACAGG
rnacentral:rRNA from 1 species